UUAUCCCUUUUGAAGAUGUUGCAAAGGAGUGGGCUGUGUGAUGAGCCAGAUGGUUUCCAAAUCAACUCUAGUAUGCAGCCCAACAAAGAGGACCAGGAGCUAUUAGAAUGAGUUUACCUGCCAGACAGAGACUGAGGCCGUAGGUCCGCUGUAUCAAAUAUCCAGAGCCAUCCUGCCUCCCUGGCAUCUAAUUACUGAUACAAAUCAUCCACAGAUAAUGUAUUCCCGUUUGUGAUUUGCAUAUAAUUGAUGAUAAUGCUGUAUAUAUUGUGGGCUGUUGGUGCUUUAAAACAAUGUCUGCAUUUGGCAAUAAUGAUCUGAGGAGAUUAUAAACAUAAAUCAGCAGGGUGUCAGAAGCAAGGAACUGUUUGGCAGUGUAUCAAUUCAAGACAUUUGUGACAUUUGU